CAGUAGCCACGGUAAUACGGGGGGGGCAAGUGUUAUUCGGAAUGACUGGGCGUAAAGGGCACGUAGGCGGUGAAAAGGGUGGAAAGUGAAAGUCGCCAAAACACUGGCGGGGUGCUUUCUUGACCAUUUCACUUGAGUGAGAUAGGGGAGAGUGGAAUUUCGUGUGGAGGGAUCAAAUCCUAAGAUAUACGAAGGAACGCCAACCGCGAAGGCAGCUCUCUGGGUCCCCACUGACGCUGGGGUGCGAAAGCAUGGGGAGCAAACAGGAUCAGAUACCCGCGUAGUCCCUGUCUCUUAUACC
rnacentral:rRNA from 1 species